ensembl:lncRNA
GGUGUCUCUCUUUUUCUCUUUCUCUCUCACUCUUUGUGUCUCUCUCUCUCUGUGUGUGUGUCUCUCUCUCUCUCUGUGUGUCUCUGUGUGGAAUCACUUAUAAUACAGAUACAUAAGGAAUGUGGAAAUAAUGUUAAAAAGCAGAAUAAACAGGGGUUAUACACAGCCGGAGUUUGGCUUUCGGAAGCAAAAAAGAGAAUUGGACGCGCAGGAAAAAAGAUUAAAUCUGACAAGACUCAAGAGGCGCUGCCCCCCGCUCAAUACAGAGAUAAUCCAGUCGACGAAAUAGUGGUUGUAAGAAUACGGCUGCAGGAGCUACCUGUGAAAUUACCACCCAUGUAUGUGGAUCCCGCUGAAGCCGAGGGAGGUAUAAUGGAGUUAGAAAAGGGAAUAAAGUCGAGAAAAGUGGAUAAGAAGCCUCCUGGGAUUAUAAUCUUGGGGAGAGUGGGGGAGAGAGCGGCCAUAAACGACCAAAUUGAAAAAGGUCUGGAAGUCUUGAUUAUCCAUUAAGGAUUCUAUGCAUUACAGGUGAACUACAGGUGAAGUCACUCAAUCCAGUCCCAGAGGCUUGUUGGGGGGACCAUACCAAGGACUCCUGGUGACAGCUAGCUGAAAGAGCUACCCAGAUUCGUAUCGCACGGUGGGAGGGUAAGACACAUUGACACUGUCGAACAAUAAACAGUGUUCGAGAGGAGAACUGGAAUUAACAGAAUUCCGGGGGCCAUCUCUCGAAUGAAGAAAAUCCUUCCUGUCUUUUCAUCCCUGUUUUUGUUCAUAGAAGUGAAGGUGUGUCUGGCGCUUGCUAAGUGAUGUGUUCUCGGGGAGAGGGUGGGGCUUCACAUGGAAGCUGUUCAUCUGAGCUGUCUUAUCGUGGGUGACAUAUUCCUGAUACAGCACGUCCUACUUGAGUAUGCGGAGAGUGGUAAUUUGACCCAUGGUUUAGACGAUGAGGAUUUUGUUCCAAAAUAAGCAUAAGAGAUCCCUAGAUCUGGGUAGACAGGAAGUUAGAGUAGAGGUUGGGAAGGAUCUCUCAAUGGAGUUUUAUGUAGACCAACAUGGAGUCUCUAACUACAUGGCAGUCUAGGACUCUGAGCCAUUAUGGCAUAUAUCGGUGCAGGUUCCCAUAUUGAUCGUGGACACAGGUCAUAGCUCAUUUGGAGAGAGAGGGUUAAUAUGAAUCCACUCACCCAGUAUGGAAGAAGGUAGAGUAUAGUGAAGGUGAGAGUUUUUGAUUGUAAUCAGGAGAGAGGGAUGUAUUGCAUAAAGAUACCCCUAACCCUUUAAACAGAAAUGAAGGAGGAUCUAGGGUUGUGGUAUGGACAUGACCAGGUCUUGGUCGACACCCUAGUACGGUUCUGGGUAGAGGAGUUUAGGCCGGUAUGGUAAAGCUGUUCAUUCACCUGUGUGACUGUUUAGUUUUAUGGGGCUGUUGUCUAAUUCCCUGUGUAUGAGGCCUUAUUUCCAGGACUCUGGAGAAAUCGAUGACAAUAGAUGGUGAGAUACCAGGGGAUUCCAGGUUCAGACCCGCGGAGUGCUGAUUGUAUGUCUACAGGACAAGUGGACGAAUCUGGAUCCUUCAGUUGCGGGCAAUUUAUGUUUGAAGAGACCAUUUUUGAUGUUUAGGUUGCAUCCCAUCUAGGUUGCAUCCCAUCUCAAUAUUAGACUGUUUUUUUAUGAAGAUUGUAACGAAAAUCCUGAUAAGAAGAGUUAUGAUUCUGAUGUAGGCCUGAGAAACAGUUAUGGCGAAUGCAAGUAUGGGGUUAUGUUUAGGUGAUGUUUUGAUGACAAGAAAUAUCUCUAAUAAAAAUAAAAUUUUUAUCAAUGAUGACUAAUUAUGUAUACAUUUCAAUCAGGACUGAAUAAUCCGAAUACUGUUAUGUUACUGUACAUGUAUGAAUUUUCUCUCUUGCUCCCAGUAUUGAAUAUAAUGUAGUCAAGAGUUUAGAACAAUGAUGGCCUGUUCCUUGGUACAAAUAAAUGAACUAUCUCCAGAUGGCAGGGACGGACUAUCUCCAGACUGUCUAGAAUGCUUAUCUACACUGACUGACCUUGGCUCUAGGCGAGGAGGGAAGGCUUGAGAUCUAUAGAGCCUUUCUACCAGUGUCAAGAAGAGACGGAACAUUUAGAAAACGCUGACGUCAUUUUCAGUUCAUAACCUGUGGUAAAAUGUGUAUGAACUCAGUACUCUCUUGAAUUAAAG